GCCAUUGUGACGGAUAGUGCCGCAUAUAUGCUGAAGGCCGCAGAGUGUCUUCGGGUGUUUUACCCUAAAAUUAUUCACCCCAUGUGUCUGGUUCACGGCAUCCAUUGAGUUCGUGUGGAGGUCAGAGCCACACUGCCAGAGGUCAACAGCCUUAUAUGUUCGGCAAAGAAAAUUUUCAUCAAAGCACGAAGUCGAGUGAGAGCUUUGAAGGCUGCUCAUCCUGACUGUCCUCUGCCACCUGAACCAGUCUUGAUGAGAUGGGGAAUGUGGAUUUCAGCUGCAAAAGUUGAAGAGGCUUUGAAGAUAGUGAAAAUUUAGCCAUACCAAAAGCAAGGGACACACUGAAGAAUUCCAGCAUGUUACAUAGCCUACCUUUCAACCGAGCACAGUUGGGUGGCCUUCCAGACCUAAUUGAGAAAUUUGAGACUCGUAAAAUGGAAGUUACGAAGGCAGUGGCUCUUGUUGAAGUACUCAGAACACAGAGCAAGAGUUGGCCAGGUCUGAUCAGUGAGAGACUUAAAAGAAAAUUGGAUUCAAUUCUUCACAGAAAUCCUGGUUGGCCUAUGAUUUGGAAGAUCGCUCAGUUAGUGGAUGAAGAGAAACGCUCCAAGAAUCUAGAUGAUUUCAUGUCGUCUGAUGUCGCUGCUCUUAAAUUUUUACCUGUAGUGUCAUGUGAUGUUGAACAAUAAUUUUCAAGAUUGAAAAUGUUAUUAUCUGACCACAAGAAAAAUUUUCAUGCAGAGAAUACGGAAAAAAAUAUUGGUAGUUCAAAUAAACUCUAAUUUUUAGAAUUUACCAAACUUAUUGUGUAAGUACCUGUUGUUAUACUUCAUGUUAUUCAUUGAAUUAUACCAAUUAUUGAAAAUA